rnacentral:lncRNA from 1 species
AGUUCAGAUCCACUCCAUUACUUUAUCCUCCUUUUCCUCCAGUUUUUUGAUGGAUGAAUGACACGUGGCAGUUGAAUUUUUCAACGCAUGAGAUUAACAACACCAAGUUUUGAAAGUCACAGAUAAACAACCUCUCCUUUGUUUGGAGUUGCUUCAACGUUCUCGUCUUCUUGCCGCCAUGACCAUCCACUCUGGAUCUUUUCGCGUUGUUUCACCUUUCUUGAGUUGCUUCACCAAAUUUUGAAAGUCACAGAUAAACAACUCUGGACCUUUCGCGUCGAUCUGAACUUCAAACUUUUCAACUUAUUCAAACUCUGUAGAGAGAAAUUGUGUUGCAAAUACGCCGGAUGCGUUGACCGAUGAAGUUGCCGCCCUAUUGAAAUUGAAGAUUGUUUGAUUUAAAUUCAAAACUGUUUGUUUGUAAUUAAUUUUAGAUUGUAAUUUUAGGUUUCAAUUUUAUGUAAUCUUCCCCUUUGGUUAUGUUGAAUGUUCUGCAUUUUUUUUUAUGCAGAAAACAAAAAUCUUGUAUCUGUGUUAUAAUAAAGAAGUGAUUCUUUUUUAUUAUUAUUGUUUUUCCCUGGAUCGAUGGAAUUUUUAUCUAUUAUUUAUAUGUCAUCCCUUUAAUUAGAUAAGUUUUGUUAGGUAGUUUUCAUUUCAAUUUGCA